rnacentral:rRNA from 1 species
UGGGGAAUUUUGGACAAUGGGGGCAACCCUGAUCCAGCCAUCCCGCGUGUGCGAUGAAGGCCUUCGGGUUGUAAAGCACUUUUGGCAGGGAAGAAACAGCCUGGGCUAAUAUCUCGGGCGACUGACGGUACCUGCAGAAUAAGCACCGGCUAACUACGUGCCAGCAGCCGCGGUAAUACGUAGGGUGCAAGCGUUAAUCGGAAUUACUGGGCGUAAAGCGUGCGCAGGCGGUUCGGAAAGAAAGGUGUGAAAUCCCAGGGCUUAACCUUGGAACUGCACUUUUAACUACCGGGCUAGAGUACGUCAGAGGGGGGUAGAAUUCCACGUGUAGCAGUGAAAUGCGUAGAGAUGUGGAGGAAUACCGAUGGCGAAGGCAGCCCCCUGGGAUGAUACUGACGCUCAUGCACGAAAGCGUGGGGAGCAAACA